rnacentral:rRNA from 1 species
UACGGAAGGGGCAAGCGUUGUUCGGAAUCAUUGGGCGUAAAGGGCGCGUAGGCGGCCUGCUAAGUCGGAUGUGAAAUCCCUCGGCUUAACCGAGGAACUGCAUCCGAUACUGGCGGGCUUGAAUCCGGGGAGAGGGAUGUGGAAUUCCAGGUGUAGCGGUGAAAUGCGUAGAUAUCUGGAGGAACACCGGUGGCGAAGGCGGCAUCCUGGACCGGUAUUGACGCUGAGGCGCGAAAGCUAGGGGAGCAAACGGGG